AGGGGCGUGGCCUCACGCCAUCAUGGCGGCGCCCAUGGCGGACGGUGCGCGUGGGGGGCGCGGGAGGAUUUGGGGUUUUUUUGGGGGCAUUUUGGGGUUUUUUUGGGUGUUUUUUGGGCUGUGGCCGUGGCUCUGACCUCUCCCCUCCCCCCGCAGCCCCUCAGGGGGGCCCCACCCCCCCCGGGACCCCUCCGGACGCGGCCCCGGCGGAGCCCGAGGCGCUCGAUUUCCCCCAGUACGAACUGGGCCGCCCCCCCCGCCAGAUUUGGGGGGCGCGGGAGGAAUUCGCGCGGCGCCCCGAAAAUUUCCUGCGAGGCUGCAAAUGGGCCCCCGACGGCUCCUGCGUCCUCACCUGCAGCAACGACAACGCCCUGAGGAUCUUCGACCUCCCCCUCCCCCCGCGGCCCCCCCCGGGGGCGCCCCUCCCCCAGCUGGUGGGGGAGGGGUCCUGGGGGGGGCUGGGGGGGUCAUUUUGGGGGGUUUGGGGUCACUGAGGGGGGUCCUGGGGGGGAUUUGAGGUCACUUUGGGGGGUUUGG
rnacentral:lncRNA from 1 species